UAGUUUAUCAGACUGAUAUUUCC
rnacentral:miRNA from 1 species